rnacentral:lncRNA from 1 species
CAAGUUAUCUGUAGACAUUUCUUGCCACAAAAUUCCUCAUAGUAACCCCUCCGCUCUUCCUUUUACCUCUUCUUUCUCUAACUUCCAAAAGCUGGAUCCCCUACAUGUGACAAUUGCUUUUGCGCAGCUCCUUGGUCAGUGAGAAAACAGCUAAUGUCCACCAGUGACUAAGUGGAGGCAGAAUUUUAGUGCAGGUAUUACCAGCUGAUGAGGCUGACGGCCAGGAGAUACACAAAUAAACAGCUGUAGGUCUCCCAGUCCAAUUUCAAAGUCAUGUACAGGAGACGCUCCUACUUCAUCUGAUAAAAUUGAGCAUCUAAGCAUGUUACCAGAAAGAGGCCCCAAUCUAGACCCCAAGAGAGAGUUCCUGGACCUCAUUCAAGAAAGAAUUCCAGGUAAGGCUAUAAAGCGAAAGCAAGUUUAUUAGGAAGUAAAGGAAUAAAAAGUAGCUACUCCAAAAGCA